rnacentral:misc_RNA from 1 species
AAAGUCGUAACAAGGUUUCCGUAGGUGAACCUGCGGAAGGAUCAUUACCGAGAGUUGUAGGCUUCUGUCUACCAUCUCUUACCCAUGUCUUUUGCGUACUUCUUGUUUCCUGGGUGGGCUCGCCCGCCAUCAGGACCAACCAUAAACCUUUUUGUAAUAGCAAUCAGCGUCAGUAACAACGUAAUUAAUUACAACUUUCAACAACGGAUCUCUUGGUUCUG